CUUUCGUAGGUGAACCUGCGGAAGGAUCAUUAUUGUAUAACCGAGGUGCGAGGGCUGUCGCUGACCCGAAAGGUCGUGCACGCCCGAGUGCCCUCACACACAUCCAUCUCACCCCUAUGUGCACCACCGCGUGGGUCCCCCUUUGGCUUGUUCGGAGGGGGGCUUACGUUUUCACACAAACUUUGUAUGCAGUGUAGAAUGUAUUUUUUGUUUUUGCGAUCACGCAAUCAAUACAACUUUCAACAACGGAUCUCUUGGCUCUC
rnacentral:misc_RNA from 1 species